UACGAGGGGGGCAAGCGUUGUUCGGAAUUAUUGGGCGUAAAGCGUGUGUAGGCGGCUACGCAAGUCGGAUGUGAAAGCCCCGGGCUCAACCCGGGAAGUGCACCCGAAACUGCGUGGCUUGAGUACCGGAGAGGUUGGUGGAAUUCUCGGUGUAGAGGUGAAAUUCGUAGAUAUCGAGAGGAACACCGGUGGCGAAGGCGGCCAACUGGACGAGUACUGACGCUGAGACACGAAAGCGUGGGGAGCAAACAGG
rnacentral:rRNA from 1 species